UUGCCCAUCUAAGACAGGCAGUGUCCUAGGUGGCCAACACAGAAGGGUAGAAUAUUUUCUCUCUCAAACCCAAAGCAAAACGAUUGUCGAUGCUUUGGAUCCUGUCGUGAGGAACAGCU